rfam:Nicotiana attenuata strain TT scaffold06020, whole genome shotgun sequence.
GAGAGCACAGUACGAUGAAAGUUGUAAGCUGUGUUCGGGGGGUAAUCCAGCUAUCGACUAU